CAGAGCACUGUGUGUUUUGAAAUAUACAAAUAGUGGGAAAUGAAAUCUUUGUUCUGGAUGCAGUUAUAAUUUGGAAAGCGAGGAAAUAAAUUAUAACAAGGGGAAAAAACAGAAUACUACUAAAGUCAUGCCGUGUGACUUCUGAAGCUAGCUCCUAAGAAGUCCUUGCAGCUUCUGCCUGCGACUCUUAGAACACUUGCUUUGAAGGAUGCCAGACGCUGUGUUAAAAGUCUGAGCACUCUGAAACCACCAUGCUGUGAGGAAGCCCAAGCUAACCACAUGGGCAAAAAAGAUGCCCUCUGACUGCCACCAUUUGAGACACUCUAAUUAAGAACUGCCUCAUUGAGCCCAUGAGGCCCUGUGAAUGAUAGUAAUAAAUUGUUUUUAACCACUAUGUUUUUGGAUUUGUUAUAAGUUUAUAGAUAACAAGAAAAAGUUAUAUUAGCAUGGUAAUAAAAUUAUGGAUAUGUGUAA
rnacentral:lncRNA from 1 species